rnacentral:rRNA from 2 species
CUAAUACAUGCAAGUCGAACGAGUUCUCGUUGAUGAUCGGUGCUUGCACCGAGAUUCAACAUGGAACGAGUGGCGGACGGGUGAGUAACACGUGGGUAACCUGCCCUUAAGUGGGGGAUAACAUUUGGAAACAGAUGCUAAUACCGCAUAGAUCCAAGAACCGCAUGGUUCUUGGCUGAAAGAUGGCGUAAGCUAUCGCUUUUGGAUGGACCCGCGGCGUAUUAGCUAGUUGGUGAGGUAAUGGCUCACCAAGGCGAUGAUACGUAGCCGAACUGAGAGGUUGAUCGGCCACAUUGGGACUGAGACACGGCCCAAACUCCUACGGGAGGCAGCAGUAGGGAAUCUUCCACAAUGGACGCAAGUCUGAUGGAGCAACGCCGCGUGAGUGAAGAAGGCUUUCGGGUCGUAAAACUCUGUUGUUGGAGAAGAAUGGUCGGCAGAGUAACUGUUGUCGGCGUGACGGUAUCCAACCAGAAAGCCACGGCUAACUACGUGCCAGCAGCCGCGGUAAUACGUAGGUGGCAAGCGUUAUCCGGAUUUAUUGGGCGUAAAGCGAGCGCAGGCGGUUUUUUAAGUCUGAUGUGAAAGCCCUCGGCUUAACCGAGGAAGCGCAUCGGAAACUGGGAAACUUGAGUGCAGAAGAGGACAGUGGAACUCCAUGUGUAGCGGUGAAAUGCGUAGAUAUAUGGAAGAACACCAGUGGCGAAGGCGGCUGUCUGGUCUGUAACUGACGCUGAGGCUCGAAAGCAUGGGUAGCGAACAGGAUUAGAUACCCUGGUAGUCCAUGCCGUAAACGAUGAAUGCUAGGUGUUGGAGGGUUUCCGCCCUUCAGUGCCGCAGCUAACGCAUUAAGCAUUCCGCCUGGGGAGUACGACCGCAAGGUUGAAACUCAAAGGAAUUGACGGGGGCCCGCACAAGCGGUGGAGCAUGUGGUUUAAUUCGAAGCAACGCGAAGAACCUUACCAGGUCUUGACAUCUUUUGAUCACCUGAGAGAUCAGGUUUCCCCUUCGGGGGCAAAAUGACAGGUGGUGCAUGGUUGUCGUCAGCUCGUGUCGUGAGAUGUUGGGUUAAGUCCCGCAACGAGCGCAACCCUUAUGACUAGUUGCCAGCAUUUAGUUGGGCACUCUAGUAAGACUGCCGGUGACAAACCGGAGGAAGGUGGGGAUGACGUCAAAUCAUCAUGCCCCUUAUGACCUGGGCUACACACGUGCUACAAUGGAUGGUACAACGAGUUGCGAGACCGCGAGGUCAAGCUAAUCUCUUAAAGCCAUUCUCAGUUCGGACUGUAGGCUGCAACUCGCCUACACGAAGUCGGAAUCGCUAGUAAUCGCGGAUCAGCACGCCGCGGUGAAUACGUUCCCGGGCCUUGUACACACCGCCCGUCACACCAUGAGAGUUUGUAACACCCGAAGCCGGUGGCGUAACCCUUUUAGGGAGCGAGCCGUCUAAGGUG